GUUUGCUUCGGCAGCACAUACAUCCACAUUGGAACAAUACAGUGAAGAUGAGCGUGGCGCCCACACAAGAAUGACACACAAAUCCAUGAAGCGUUCCGUAUUUUC